UUCCACCGAACACAUUAUUUUAAAUAGAACAAAGAUCGCCAAAAAAAUUAUGCAUCUCUCCCGACAAGCCAUUUUGAGCUUCUUUCGCGGCAGUCAGAUUAUCUCUGGCUGGUUUUUCACACAGAGCGUUUGAUACUCAGGAAGGCGAGCUUGCAAGAAAUAUGAACAACUAAACGUAGCUCCCACUUAGCACAGUUCUCUGCUUAGAGCACACAAUCGUACUGAAACACGAGGCUGGGCAGCAGCUCAGUAUGCUCAAGGAUUACAGCUGCAGACGUUUUCACAGAUCAUUUAGUGUCGUGUUCUACUGUCGGAACGGUGGAGAAAUUAUUUUCAAAACGAUGAGCUACGACGAUCUGACCGAAUUGGCAGGAUAUUCCGAGGCCAUAGAUACUCCCCGACCGCAAUUUAGUGCCCAUUCCAUCAAUUAAUGAAAAUAAAAAAAAAUUAAAAAAAAAAAAAAAAAAAGAACAUGUUAUAAACUUUUUUUACUUCGUCUUUGAAUAUUGAUAAGAAAAGAGCCGUAACAGCUAUAUUAUACGUCAUGAAUAAACUGUUAAGAAACUGUGCCGCCAACAAUGCAACCCCACAAAUAAAAAUUGUGCAAAUUGUAAAAAAGAGGUAUAACACCUACAUUAUAGGUAUGUCAUGAAUAAAGUAUUGAGAAACUGUGCCGCCAACAAUGCAACCCCGC
rnacentral:misc_RNA from 1 species